rfam:Helianthus annuus linkage group 1, whole genome shotgun sequence.
AUAAAUAUUUGAUAGACAUUUACAGAUUGUCUCAUCAAUUUGAAAACAUGAGGAUAAAGUAAAGCUGGCGAGAUAUCGUUUCAGUCGUCAUAUUUCCCAUUGACGCUCUGAUUGUUGCUCGUCCACAA